UACAGAGGGGGCAAGCGUUAUUCGGAAUUAUUGGGCGUAAAGGGCGCGUAGGCGGCUUUUCAAGUGACGGGUGAAAUCCCUCGGCUUAACCGAGGAACUGCCUGUCAGACUGGAAGGCUUGAGACCGGGAGAGGUGAGUGGAAUUCCCAGUGUAGCGGUGAAAUGCGUAGAUAUUGGGAGGAACACCAGUGGCGAAGGCGGCUCACUGGACCGGAACUGACGCUGAGGCGCGAAAGCUAGGGGAGCAAACAGG
rnacentral:rRNA from 1 species